GUGGAUUAGAUACCCUGGUAGUCCACGCCGUAAACGAUGAGUGCUAGGUGCUGUGGGUAUUGACCCCCGCGGUGCCGCAGCCAACGCGUUAAGCACUCCGCCUGGGGAGUACGGCCGCAAGGCUAAAACUCAAAGGAAUUGACGGGGGCCCGCACAAGCGGUGGAGCAUGUGGUUCAAUUCGACGCAACGCGCAGAACCUUACCUGGGUUAAAUCCACCAGAACCUUACAGAGAUGUAGGGGUGCCCUUCGGGGAACUGGUGAGAAGGUGCUGCACGGCCGUCGACAGCU
rnacentral:rRNA from 1 species